CGCUAAGGAGGAAAUCGCCUCCAUUUGCUACGUGCGGAGCCGGGUGUCUGCACAGCGGCCGGGAAGAGAAGGGAGCCUGUUUCCCAGACUCUCAGAGCUAGAAGAGAGGAGAAAACCAGCACAGCUGCAGAUGGGAUCAGCGGCGUGCUGGCAGGCAGGCACGCACAGCUGGGAGAGGGGAGCACGCUCUCACACACACAAAGCAGCACCAAAUGGAGCACGUGGAAGAAGGCCAGCAGAGGCUGGUGACUCACAUCCCCAGCCUCCAUCAGCUUCUUCAGCAACACCAGUAGAUGACCGAGGCUGGCAGGAGAUACCACAAUGCUGGAGCCGUGCUCAGCACCCACAAGCCACCCAAGCAAAGGAUGGGCAAACUCUCCUGACCUCAGGGGCUGCUCAUCACAUCUUGGUGGCAGCCAGAUGCAAAGCACCACAUUAUCUUCUGUGGAUCGUAGUCUAAAUAUUUAUUUCCUUGUCCAGGCCCUGACACGUCCCUCCUUUCUUUUUCAUUUGUCAAAAGCAUCCAUAUCACCAGUGGCAAGAAAUACUUAAAUGGGAGAGAGAUGCCACAGACUCAGCAGAUGAGCAGAAAGGAAAGUGUAGUUUGCUCCUCGUUGAGCACCCAGGAGACAUGGAGAGCCCUUCCCAUGGCAGAGGUGGAGAGUAAGGAGGUCAUUGUGAAAAUUAUGGCUGCACCAUGAGUUCCUGCUCUCCACCUGUUGGGCUAUUCUCUCCCCUCCCCAAACACCCCAGUGGCACAGCAGGGCCUGGGAUGACUGCCAGAUUCUCCUUGCUCAGAAGCUAUUCAGUCCUCCAGAGAGGAAAAAGAAUGCUCACGGGAAAUGGUCAGCAGAGCAAAACCAGCACCUCUGAGGACACAGAGCACGUUUGCAAAGGGCAGUACUGCUCCCCAGCCAUGCCUGCACCCACCACAGCACCACCACAGCAGGGUCAGCUUCUUGCCUUCCUUGCCUUCUGUGACAGCAGUGGCCUGUGCCAGGGCACAGCAGCGGUGCAGGACGGAGAGAAGGGAAAAGGGCCCUGAGCUGAGGCAGCAUCUGUACCCACCUCUCAGUGCACAGUGUUUCAGCAGCUGGUGCUAAACAAGGACUUCAGGCUUCUCUCAUCCUCUGUGACACUUCCACUGCUGCAGUGCAGCCCUAUGCCAGUUGCUAUGGCCCAGCUGUACAUCCCGGUGCUGGGCUCCUUGCAGGACAACUUCUUCCCAGUCCUUGGCAGCAUCGCUUCUGUUGGGAUGCUGACUCCCUGGCUUGACAGAACACAGAAACACCACAGACCACCAGAAGAGAAGUUGGUAAAGCACCAUUUCACCGAGCUGCAGAAAAAUGGGAGAGGAUAUUAUACAGCCCUGAGCAGUGGUACAGCCUCGUCCAGCCCUGCCUGCCCCUGGAGCCCCCAUCUUCAGCCAUUUGCUCUUGCACAUCUGCACUUCCCAGCACACACUGAUCUGUGAUGCCUGGCUCUCCUCUUCCUUCCCCUCCUCACCCUGCUGUAAGGAUCACACAGCCUCCUGCUGAUGCAGGAUGUGUUGCAGGAUACACCACCAUUCAGAGCCGCCAUGAGGUGUAAGUUUGAGGUAGCUGGAAAGCACUGGUAUAAGCUGACCAACUCUGCUAUGCCUAAGAAAUAAUACUAUGUCCACUCCAGGUGCCAUCUCCAAACCAAGGCAUACGACUCACAGGUUAGAGAUGGGGCACUGUCAUUCUGGCUUGGAGG